ACUUCAGAAUAUAUGAGGGCAAUUUUGCUUUAUUUAAUAUCUAUUUAGUACCAAAUGUCUUUGUGAUACUUGUCAUGCAACUGGAGUGGGCUAACCAAGUUCCCUGAGUACACACAAAAUAAUAAUAUAAUAAUAAUAAUAAUAAUAAUAAUAAUAAUAAUAAUAAUAAUAAUAAUAAUGGACUUUAUUGUACAUAUUAAAAACAUAAUACAUUAUUGUAUUGUUUGUUUGUUUUUUUUACUGAAAUGUCUUUGUAGCUAAUAUCAGUCAUGAUAUAAUGUACUGUACAUGUUUAUAUUUAUAUACUGAACAUAGCAUGUCAGAAAAAUAUUAUUCCAGGUGUUUAAGUGAUUUAAUGAGGACAGGCGAAGAAUCUGAAGGAUUUGGAAGUUUAGGGGAAAUUCUGUGGAAACUCCUUAAAGUAAAACUAAAAUAAAAGCCGCUGCUUUUUCGCUCCAGUGCUUGAGCGUUUCGUCCACUGCACUGGAGCGAGUUAGAACAUAUCCUUGAGAAAGCACCUGGAGAAGACAAGUUUAAGAGUUUGCAGAAUACCUUUGGACUUUUUUAUUGCACCAUUUCUCGGUUAACUGCGUUGGGAAUCUACACAGGUGCAGUAAAAGCUCGUUUAAGAGCCGCGUGUGCUAACGGCAGACACAAAUUGACUGACUAAAACGAGGCGAAAUCAAGAUGUUUUGUGAAUCUACUCUGUGGAGCAUAGGAUGCGACGAGCAUCUUCAGACAAACAGGGAUACCAUAUGCCUGGUGGAAAUCUCAUCGGGCACAUCUCUGUCCGCUGAGGACGUGAACGGAGAAGGAUAUAUAUCUGAAUACCAGAUGCCAUCCGAACAGGAUCACAGGGUCAUCGGUAAACCACAGAUGAGAGCCAGCAGCCCAAUCAUGCACUUUCCAAAGGUCUGGACCUUCCUCCAGUUCAAGACAUCCACAAGAGCAUGAUGGGACAAGUGACCCUCUGCCAGGUCAAUAUAUUGAUAGACUUUAUGUUAAUAUGUCAUUACAGAAGUUAUAAUUAUUAUGGAGAAAUGACAUGCUUGUUUUUUUAAGCAAAUUAUUAUAUAAGGAAGCUUUAAAAACUGAAAAUUUCCACCAGAGGGCAGUGAUAAGUCACUGCCACUAUAAUGAAACGUGUUGACAAGGUUUUGUUUGUACAAGCAGGUCUUUAGGGUAGAGCUGACUAAAAAACAUUAAAAACAAAAAUUCAGUGAUAAGUGAACUCUGAUCAAAGCUAAAGUUCAGCUAAAGGUUUAAUUUCUCCUCUCAACUCACAAUUAUUACGCAAAUGAUCUGAGAUGUCACUUUAAGAUUUAAUUUUUUUUUUUUAAGGUUAAAGAAUACAGUUUCAUACUGUUUGAAGAAUGUUGCACUAUGUAUAUAUGUUUACACCUGAAUUUAAAAUGCACUACAAAAGAGUGUCAGACAGUGUUGUUUGUAUAUAAUGUAUUCUGUAUCAUGAUUUAUUGUUUUAAAUAAAAUGUUCAAAUUGCG